UAUGGCCAUAUCAUGUUCAAACAUCGGUUCCCGUGCGAUCACCGAAGUUAAGCAACGACCAGCCUAGUCACUACUUAGAUAGGUAACUGCUUGGGAAUGACAGGUGCUGUAA